AGGAUUAACGCUGGCGGCGUGCCUAACACAUGCAAGUCGAACGAGGUAGCAAUACCUAGUGGCAGACGGGUGAGUAACGCGUGGUCAACCUACCGUUGAGUGGGGGAUAACUAGCCGAAAGGUUAGCUAAUACCGCAUACGAGUCUCGGGGGCAUCCCUGGGCCUUAAAAGGAGCAAUCCGCUCGAUGACGGGACCGCGUCCCAUUAGCUAGAUGGUGGGGUAACGGCCUACCAUGGCACCGAUGGGUAGCUGGUUUGAGAGAGCGACCAGCCACACUGGGACUGAGAAACGGCCCAGACUCCUACGGGAGGCAGCAGUGAGGAAUUUUCCGCAAUGGGCGAAAGCCUGACGGAGCGACGCCGCGUGUGGGAAGAAGGCCUUCGAGUCGUAAACCACUGUCGAAGGGGACGAUAAUGACGGUACCCUUGGAGGAAGCCCCGGCUAACUACGUGCCAGCAGCCGC
rnacentral:rRNA from 1 species